rnacentral:lncRNA from 10 species
CACUAAUGAAGGAUCUGUUUGCCUUUGGGGAUAAAGAUGGUAUCACUGAUUCACAGUUGUUUUUCCAGGAGUGAAGAACAGAUUUUACUUCCUCAUCCAUAGUCUCUUGCCUGGCCCUUUCUCGUCCCUACUACCACUACCCUAAUUCAGGCCUCAUUGUUUCCUGCCAGGACGGUUCACCUGCCUCCAACUGGCCUCCUUGCCUUUGGUUCUGGCCCUGCCUGGUUCGAGAUCACAUUGCCAGAGGGAUCUUCAUAAGCACAGAUUUGCUGUAUCACUUCCAGCUUAAAAUCCGUCAGUGACUCCUGUUAGUGCCAGUGUGGAAUCCAAACUUCUUAGCAUGUUCAGUUUGAUGGUGGCCGUGAAGGGGUCUGAUGCUCAGUAACUUGAGGUGCCCCUGCAGCAUGAGGUGGUGGAGAGGGUAUCUGAGUGGGUAUGGGAUCCUGGGGUCAGGCCCAUGUUCACUUGCUCAGGAGCUUGGAGCACAACUUCCCCUUUCUGGGAGAAGGCUUUAUAUCUCAUUAAGAUGGAUGAAAUCUCUCAGCUGGACAAAGGCAGCAGCACAUUAUGUUCAAAACGAAGAGACUUGGUGUGAGAUGGAUCCUGAACAGCUCACCUCCCACCAUCCCAGCCAGAAGUAGCACGGUCUUCAAAUUCCAGCCCAUCUCUCUCUUCUUGAUGAAUACCUCUUCCAGCUCAGUUGCAAUGAAAUGUCUCCUUCUUCCAUAUAAACCCAGGGCUGUGCCCAAGCCUGCUUAUCCCAUUACCCACACUUCCCCCGAGUCUUAAAACAUGUCACUUCCUCGAGACUCAGAAGCCCACCUUAGGAAGUAUAAGAUUCAUGUUGAUAACUAGCUAGGAGGCUCAUUGAAAAUAUUUUGGGGUUUGCAUGUUAGCUCUGUCAAAUCAAGUAAAAAAUCAUUCUUAUCUACCAUAACCAGCAGUUAUGCAAAUCUGCCAAUGGCACUAAUUAAGUGACUUCUAAAAGCAUUUAUCAUAAAUAAGGAACAAAA